CCCAAACAAGGGGUGGGGGAUGGGAGAGAAGCUAGGGAACCCCGUGGCUUUGUAGCUCUGGUCUCACUCUUCCCUCUAUCUGGAGACUGCCUGCCUGAGCUACAUCUCCGCUUUAUUGAACAUCUCUUGAGCAUCAUUCCCAAAGAAUUUCUAACCGGAGUCACCACAGGCCAAGGCCGGCGAGGAGAGAAGACCGCCUUUAACCGGCUGCCUUGUCGCCUGGCGAGGUCGCGGUGCUGUUUCUGGCUGCGAGACUCUCCCGGUUGUCCGCAGCCCCUCAGGCUCCCAAGGCUCCGUGAGCGCGAAGGUGCAGAGUCCUCCUCAUUCCCGCUGCAGCUGCCCGGGAGUUGUGUCGUCCAAUCUCCAUGCUAUUGCUCUCUUUGGUUUUUUUGCAGAAUGACCCGAAGCCCAGCCUCUCUGCCCCAUGAAUGAUUUAACAUCACGGAGGGGUCUGCCAGCUUCCUCUGCAGUGGAGGCCUGUGGCCGUGACAUCACCAGCCCCCCACCAUGCUGAUGGAUGGUCUUUUCUGCUCUAAUGGUGAGGAGAGUGCAGAGCGCCGUCUGGGAGGAGA